rnacentral:tRNA from 1 species
GGAUUGUGGCUCAGCGGUAGAGCGCUCGCCUAGCAUGCACAGGGCCCUGGGUUCGAUCCUCAGCACCA